AUUUAUAUAGUUUAGAAAAACAUUACAUUUUCACUGUAAAGACAAAGGGCAACUUUUAUAAAUA
rnacentral:tRNA from 1 species